rnacentral:rRNA from 1 species
CGCGGUCACGAAGCCCUGACGAGUAGGAGGGUCGCGGCGGUGAGCGCAGAAGGGCUGGCCGCGAGGCCGUCUGGAGCCGCCGUCGGUGCAGAUCUUGGUGGUAGUAGCAAAUACUCCAGCGAGGCCCUGGAGGACUGACGUGGAGAAGGGUUUCGUGUGAACAGCCGUUGCACACGAGUCAGUCGAUCCUAAGCCCUAGGCGAAAGCCGAUGUCGAUGCGGUGUAGUUUUUACGAUAGAUAUGAUAUGACGACGAUGAUAAUAAUACGACGAUGAAAUUCGACUACGACGAAAUAAACGGUAAUUCGUCGUCUUAACGUCGAAUCGUCGUCGUAGUCGUCGUCGUUAAUCGAGCAUAACGCGAGAGCACACACCCGUCGGGCGAAAGGGAAUCCGGUUCCUAUUCCGGAACCUGGCAGCGGAACCGUCAAAAAGUCGGGC